UACGUAGGGCGCAAGCGUUGUCCGGAAUUAUUGGGCGUAAAGAGCUCGUAGGCGGUCUGUCGCGUCGGUUGUGAAAACCCAAGGCUCAACCUUGGGCCUGCAAUCGAUACGGGCAGACUAGAGUACUGCAGGGGAGACUGGAAUUCCUGGUGUAGCGGUGGAAUGCGCAGAUAUCAGGAGGAACACCGGUGGCGAAGGCGGGUCUCUGGGCAGUAACUGACGCUGAGGAGCGAAAGCGUGGGGAGCAAACAGG
rnacentral:rRNA from 1 species